AUAUUGGACAAUGGCGCAACCUGACCACCAUGCCGCGUCAGAAGACUGCCCUAUGGKUGUAAACUGCUUUUAUACAGGAAGAAACACUCCCUCGUGAGGGAGCUUGACGGUACUGUAAGAAUAAGGAUCGGCUAACUCCGUGCCAGCAGCCGCGGUAAUACGGAGGAUCCAAGCGUUAUCCGGAAUCAUUGGGUUUAAAGGGUCCGUAGGUGGAUAAUUAAGUCAGAGGUGAAAUCCUGCAGCUCAACUGUAGAAUUGCCUUUGAUACUGGUUAUCUUGAAUUAUUAUGAAGUAGUUAGAAUAUGUAGUGUAGCGGUGAAAUGCAUAGAUAUUACAUAGAAUACCAAUUGCGAAGGCAGAUUACUAAUAAUAUAUUGACACUGAUGGACGAAAGCGUGGGGAGCGAACAGGAUUAGAUACCCUGGUAGUCCACGCCGUAAACGAUGGUCACUAGCUGUUUGG
rnacentral:rRNA from 1 species